UACGAAGGGGGCUAGCGUUGCUCGGAAUCACUGGGCGUAAAGCGCACGUAGGCGGCUUUCUAAGUCAGGGGUGAAAUCCUGGAGGCUCAACUCCAGAACUGCCUUUGAUACUGGGAGCUCGAGUCCGGGAGAGGUGAGUGGAACUCCGAGUGUAGAGGUGAAAUUCGUAGAUAUUCGGAAGAACACCAGUGGCGAAGGCGGCUCACUGGCCCGGUACUGACGCUGAGGUGCGAAAGCGUGGGGAGCAAACAGG
rnacentral:rRNA from 1 species